rnacentral:rRNA from 1 species
AGUGAACGCUGGCGGCGUGCCUAAUACAUGCAAGUCGAACGGAGUGGCGCACGGGUGAGUAAUAUAUAGCUAAUCUUCCCCUUGCUGGAGGACAACAGUUAGAAAUGACUGCUAAUACUCCAUCGAAAAGUAUGAGACUAUCUCGUGUCAGCUAGUCGGUGGGGUAACGGCCUACAGAGGCUAUGACGAGUAACUGGUCUGAGAUGAUGAUCAUUAACAUUGGAACAGGAACACGGCGCAAGCUCUCACGGGAUGCAGCAGUAGGGAAUAUUGAGCAAUGGGGGAAAUCCUGACGCAGAAAAGCCGCGUGGAGGAUGACACUUUUCGGAGCGUAAACUCCUGAUGUUAGGGAAGCGGCACCUAACGACUAAGCACCGGCUAACUCCGUGCCAGCAGCAGGGGUAAAAG